rnacentral:rRNA from 1 species
AGGGUUUGAUUCUGGCUCAGGAUGAACGCUGGCGGCGUGCUUAACACAUGCAAGUCGAACGAAGCACUUUGGACAGAUUCUUCGGAUGAAGUCCUUAGUGACUGAGUGGCGGACGGGUGAGUAACGCGUGGGUAACCUGCCUCAUACAGGGGGAUAACAGUUAGAAAUGGCUGCUAAUACCGCAUAAGCGCACGGUACUGCAUGGUACAGUGUGAAAAACUCCGGUGGUAUGAGAUGGACCCGCGUUGGAUUAGCUAGUUGGCAGGGUAACGGCCUACCAAGGCGACGAUCCAUAGCCGGCCUGAGAGGGUGGACGGCCACAUUGGGACUGAGACACGGCCCAG